GAGGGGGAAAGAUUUAUCGCUUUAAGAUUGGCCCGCGGAAGAUUAGGUAGUUGGUGGGGUAAAGGCCUACCAAGCCGACGAUCUAUAGCUGGUCUGAGAGGACGAACAGCCACAUUGGAACUGAGACACGGUCCAGACUCCUACGGGAGGCAGCAGUGAGGAAUAUUGGGCAAUGGAGGAAACUCUGACCCAGCCAUGCCGCGUGAGUGAAGAAGGUUUUCGAAUUGUAAAGCUCUUUCGGAUGGGACGAUGAUGACGGUACCAUCUAAAGAAGCCCCGGCAAACUUCGUGCCAGCAGCCGCGGUAAUACGAAGGGGGCAAGCGUUGUUCGGAAUUACUGGGCGUAAAGGGUGUGUAGGCGGAUUUGUAAGAUAGUGGUGAAAUACCUGAGCUCAACUUAGGAAUUGCCAUUAUAACUAUAGAUCUGGAGUGACAGAGAGGAUAUUGGAAUACCCAGUGUAGAGGUGAAAUUCGUAGAUAUUGGGUAGAACACCAGUGGCGAAGGCGAGUAUCUGGCUGUCAACUGACGCUGAGGCACGAAAGCAUGGGGAUCAAACAGGAUUAGAUACCCUGGUAGUCCAUCCUA
rnacentral:rRNA from 1 species